rnacentral:lncRNA from 1 species
ACGCUUUUGUUCUUUGCGCCGGUUGCGGGAACAGUUUGAGCCUUCCUUGAUGCCAUUAAUUUUCGAAGUGUGCUUGAAUUUCGGAGAAAGAGAUGAGAGGCAGAGAUGGUCCCACCGGGCGUGCCAAUUUGUGAACACGGAAAAUUCCUGAAACGAAUGAGACAAGAACAACGUGCACAAACAAAUAUUAUGUAUUUUGAUGAUUUUGGGUUACAAUCUCUCUCAAAUUUAUCCUCUGAUUCGAUCUCCGUAAGGUGUUGAUUGGUGGAUGUGUGAUUGAUCCAAAGGGCCGUUGGGCUUGAUCUAAGGAUGAACGUUCUUCAAGGGCCGUGGACUUGAUCUUGAAGGUGGAUUUGAGCGGAUCUUCAAAGGGGCUUUUGGGCUUGAUCUUUGAAGAACAGUGAUGAACGGAUCUCCAAGGGCUUUUGGGCUUGAUCUUGAAGAACAGUGAUGAACGGAUCUUCAAGGAGUUUUGGGCUUGAUCUUGAAGAACGGUUGGAUUUGUGGAUUUGUCGACGUUGUUGAUCCAAAGGGCCGUUGGGGCUUGAUCUUGGAUGAACGGAUGAUGAACGAUGGUGCUUUCUUCAAGGGCCGUCGGGGCUUGAUCUUGGAAGAACGAUGAACGAAGAACGAAGAACACUUUCUUCAAGGGCCGUCGGGGCUUGAUCUUGAAUUGGUGGAUGAUUGUUGAUCCAAAGGGCCGUUGGGGCUUGAUCUUGGAAGAACGAUGAACGAAG